rnacentral:rRNA from 1 species
UACGUAGGGGGCAAGCGUUGUCCGGAUUUAUUGGGCGUAAAGAGCGUGUAGGCGGCUAGGUAGGUCCGUUGUGAAAACUCGAGGCUCAACCUCGAGACGCCGGUGGAAACCAUCUAGCUAGAGUCCGGAAGAGGAGAGUGGAAUUCCUGGAUGUAGCGGUGAAAUGACGCAGAUAUCAGGAAGAACACCCGUGGCGAAGGCGGCUCUCUGGUACGUGACUGACGCUGAGACGCGAAAGCGUGAGGAGCGAACAGG